rfam:Candidatus Endomicrobium trichonymphae strain CET450 CET450_Contig899, whole genome shotgun sequence.
GCCGAUGUAGCUCAGUUGGUAGAGCAAUUGCUUCGUAAGCAAUGGGUCGGAGGUUCAAAUCCUCUCAUCGGCU